CCUACGGGUGGCAGCAGUGAGGAAUAUUGGUCAAUGGUCGGGAGACUGAACCAGCCAAGCCGCGUGAGGGAGGAAGGUACAGAGUAUCGUAAACCUCUUUUGUCAGGGAACAAAGGCGGGGACGUGUCCCCGGAUGAGUGUACCUGAAGAAAAAGCAUCGGCUAACUCCGUGCCAGCAGCCGCGGUAAUACGGAGGGUGCGAGCGUUAUCCGGAUUUAUUGGGUUUAAAGGGUGCGCAGGCGGGCGGUUUAGUCAGGCGUCAAAGCCCAGGGCUUAACCCCCGCCCCGCCGUUGAACCUGGCAGUCUCGAGUUGGAGAGAGGUAUGCGGAAUGCGUGGUGUAGCGGUGAAAUGCAUAGAUAUCGCGAAGAACUCCGAUUGCGAAGGCAGCAUGCCGGCCCCACACUGACGCUGAGGCACGAAAGCGUGGGUAUCGAACAGGAUUAGAUACCCUAGUAGUC
rnacentral:rRNA from 1 species